UACGAAGGGUGCAAGCGUUACUCGGAAUUACUGGGCGUAAAGCGUGCGUAGGUGGUUCGUUAAGUCCGAUGUGAAAGCCCUGGGCUCAACCUGGGAAUGGCAUGGGAUACUGGUGGGCUAGAGUGCGGUAGAGGGUGGCGGAAUUCCCGGUGUAGCAGUGAAAUGCGUAGAUAUGCGGAGGAACACCGAUGGCGAAGGCAGCCCCCUGGGUUGACACUGACGCUCAGGCACGAAAGCGUGGGGAGCAAACAGG
rnacentral:rRNA from 1 species